GAUGAAGAACGCAGCGAAAUGCGAUACGUAAUGUGAAUUGCAAAUUCAGUGAAUCAUCGAGUCUUUGAACGCACAUUGCGCCCCCUGGUAUUCCGGGGGGCAUGCCUGUCCGAGCGUCAUUGCUGCUCUCAAGCACGGCUUGUGUGUUGGGCCCCGUCCUCCGAUCCCGGGGGACGGGCCCGAAAGGCAGCGGCGGCACCGCGUCCGGUCCUCGAGCGUAUGGGGCUUUGUCACCCGCUCUGUAGGCCCGGCCGGCGCUUGCCGAUCAACCCAAAUUUUUAUCCAGGUUGACCUCGGAUCAGGUAGGGAUACCCGCUGAACUUAAGCAUAUCAAUAAGCGGAGGA
rnacentral:misc_RNA from 1 species